UACGGAGGAGGCAAGCGUUAUCCGGAAUUAUUGGGCGUAAAGCGUCCGCAGGUGGCACUUCAAGUCUGACGUCAAAGACCGGGGCUUAACUUCGGAAAGGCAGUGGAAACUGAACAGCUAGAGUAUGGUAGGGGCAGAGGGAAUUCCUGGUGUAGCGGUGAAAUGCGUAGAGAUCAGGAAGAACAUCGGUGGCGAAGGCGCUCUGCUGGACCAUAACUGACACUCAGGGACGAAAGCUAGGGGAGCGAAUGGG
rnacentral:rRNA from 1 species